GUCGGGAAUUUUGGGCAAUGGGGGAAACCCUGACCCAGCAACGCCGCGUGAAGGAUGAAGUAUUUCGGUAUGUAAACUUCGAAAGAAUGGGAAGAAUCAAUGACGGUACCAUUUAUAAGGUCCGGCUAACUACGUGCCAGCAGCCGCGGUAAUACGUAGGGACCAAGCGUUGUUCGGAUUUACUGGGCGUAAAGGGCGCGUAGGCGGCGUGACAAGUCACUUGUGAAAUCUCCGGGCUUAACCCGGAACUGCCAAGUGAUACUGUCGUGCUAGAGUGCGGAAGGGGCAAUCGGAAUUCUCGGUGUAGCGGUGAAAUGCGUAGAUAUCGAGAGGAACACCUGAGGUGAAGACGGGUUGCUGGGCCGACACUGACGCUGAGUGCGCGAAAGCCAGGGGAGCAAACGGGAUUAGAUACCCGAGUAGUCC
rnacentral:rRNA from 1 species